AUGUAUUCCUUGCUUUACUUAGUAUGCAUGGACGCGGGGCUGCUGUGCAUGCGGGGUGCCCCCGGCUGGGCCUGGGACACCCCCGAGGCUCUUAGCACACACAGAUCUUGUGGACUCUGCGGGGUGAGGAGGGUGUCCCCUGCCUGUCACCCAUCCGGGGGAGCAGGGUGGGACGGCAACACACCUUGCACGGUGCUGUGCUGCCACAUGGCACAUUUGGGAAUUCGGGGUUGCUCCGCUGGGGAGCUGGUGGAUUUGCAGGGAGAGGAGAAGAGGUGUGAACAUCACCCCAGGCACCCACUCGCCAUCACACUCACUCCUGCAGCCACGGUGGCAUUAACCCACACCCAUGAGCUGUCGCUGAUCCAGGGGUGUGUGACAGCACCCCUGCUCCUCCAGAAAGCCACUUUUGGGCUCUGCUGUGCCCUAGCCCCUCCCCAGCCCUUAGUGGUCUCACGGCCCAGCUGGACCAGUCUGGUAAAACCUCCCCGUGCCCCCUCCAGCUUGUUUCCCCCCCAAAUCCCUGCAUCCCAGCCGUGGAGCCCAGGUAGUCCCUUGGGUCCCCCAGGGGCUGGGACUGUCUUCCCAGCUGGUGAUCCCCUUUGGUGCCGGGUGAUCCCCCCAAAUCCCAACUGCAGGCAGGACAGGGCACCUGGGGCAGCCCGGGUUUGGGGAGUAACUGGUGAUCCUGAGGGAGAAAAUAAACAAAUAAACCCCACAGAAAGAGAGUCUUUCUUCACUCCUGGAGGUAGUGUGAAAUCUGUCCAUUUUCUUUCUUUCUUUCUUUCUUUCUUUCUUUCUUUCUUUCUUUCUUUCUUUCUUUCUUUCUCUCUUUCUUUCUCUCUUUCUUUCUUUCUCUCUUUCUCUCUUUCUCUCUUUCUCUCUUUCUCUCUUUCUCUCUUUCUCUCUUUCUUUCUCUUUCUUUCUUUCUCUCUUUCUCUUUCUCUCUUUCUUUCUCUCUCUCUUUCUCUUUCUUUCUCUGUCUUUCUUUCUUUCUUUCUCUCUUUCUUUCUUCCUUCCUUCCUUUCUUUCUUCCUUUCUUCCUUUCUUCCUUUCUUCCUUUUUCUCUCUUUCUUUCUUUCUCUCUUUCCUCUAUUUCUUUCUCUCCCUUUCUCCCUCUCCCCUAGGUUUUCUUGGUUUCUAUUCUCUAUUUUUAUUUUAAUUCCUUUCCCCCACAGCAUCUUCGUAACAGUAAAUGCCUCCCAGCCUGGCUGUGCAGUCCCCAACUCCAGAGCAUGGGAUCCUCCAGCCACAAGCCAGGGACAGAUGUCCCCUCAGCUCUCACCCCCACCUUCUUUCCCCAGCAGCACCUGA
rnacentral:lncRNA from 1 species